GCCUGGGUGGCUCAGUCGCUUAAGCGUCUGACUUCGGCUCAGGUCAUGAUCUUACGGUUCGUGGGUUCGAGCCCCGCGUCGGGCU
rfam:Felis catus breed Abyssinian Contig93791.1, whole genome shotgun sequence. [26-MAY-2016]